rnacentral:rRNA from 1 species
UACGAAGGGGGCUAGCGUUGCUCGGAAUCACUGGGCGUAAAGUGCACGUAGGCGGAUUGUUAAGUCAGGGGUGAAAUCCUGGAGCUCAACUCCAGAACUGCCUUUGAUACUGGCGAUCUUGAGUCCGGGAGAGGUGAGUGGAACUGCGAGUGUAGAGGUGAAAUUCGUAGAUAUUCGCAAGAACACCAGUGGCGAAGGCGGCUCACUGGCCCGGUACUGACGCUGAGGUGCGAAAGCGUGGGGAGCAAACAGG